rnacentral:rRNA from 1 species
CCUACGGGAGGCAGCAGUGAGGAAUAUUGGUCAAUGGACGAGAGUCUGAACCAGCCAAGUAGCGUGAAGGAUGACUGCCCUAUGGGUUGUAAACUUCUUUUAUAUGGGAAUAAAAUGUUCCACGUGUGGGACUUUGUAUGUACCAUAUGAAUAAGGAUCGGCUAACUCCGUGCCAGCAGCCGCGGUAAUACGGAGGAUCCGAGCGUUAUCCGGAUUUAUUGGGUUUAAAGGGAGCGUAGGUGGGUUGUUAAGUCAGUUGUGAAAGUUUGCGGCUCAACCGUAAAAUUGCAGUUGAUACUGGCAGUCUUGAGUACAGUAGAGGUAGGCGGAAUUCGUGGUGUAGCGGUGAAAUGCUUAGAUAUCACGAAGAACUCCGAUUGCGAAGGCAGCUCACUGGACUGCAACUGACACUGAGGCUCGAAAGUGUGGGUAUCAAACAGGAUUAGAUACCCUUGUAGUC